rnacentral:rRNA from 1 species
GACAGAGGGUGCAAACGUUGUUCGGAUUUACUGGGCGUAAAGCGCGUGUAGGCGGCUUGGCAGGUCGGAUGUGAAAGCCCACGGCUCAACCGUGGAAGCGCAUCCGAAACUGCUUCGCUCGAGUCUCGGAGAGGAAGGUGGAAUGCUUGGUGUAGAGGUGAAAUUCGUAGAUAUCAAGCAGAACACCUGCGGCGAAGGCGGCCUUCUGGACGAUGACUGACGCUGAGACGCGAAAGCGUGGGGAGCAAACAGG